rnacentral:rRNA from 1 species
UACGAAGGGGCUAGCGUUGUUCGGAAUUACUGGGCGUAAAGGGCUCGUAGGCGGCCAACUAAGUCAUACGUGAAUCCCUCGGCUUAACCGGGGAACUGCGUCUGAUACUGGAUGGCUUGAGUUCGGGAGAGGGAUGCGGAAUUCCAGGUGUAGCGGUGAAAUGCGUAGAUAUCUGGAGGAACACCGGUGGCGAAGGCGGCAUCCCGGACCGAU